GGGUGAUUAAAAUUUAAUUUUAACAAUUUUUAUUUUAUUUCAUUAAUUUUUGAUUUAUUGAUCCAUUAUUUAUGAUUAUAAGAUUAAGUUACCUUAGGGAUAACAGCGUAAUUUAAUUGGAGAGUUCUUAUUGAUAAUUUAAGUUUGCGACCUCGAUGUUGAAUUAAGAAUUUAAUUAGGGGUAGAUUUUUAUAUUUUUUGGUCUGUUCGACCAAUAAUUUCUUACAUGAUUUGAGUUUAGACCGGUGUGAGCCAGGUCGGUUUUUAUCCUUAAAAUAAUUUUUAUUUUUUAGUACGAGAGGACCAAGAAUUUAAUUAAUAUAUU
rnacentral:rRNA from 1 species